CAACUCACUCAAGAAAUCUCCUCCUAAGUCUUUGAUACAUCCCAUUGCAUCAAAGAUAGCCUCACCAAGACCAAUAUCCCUAAACUCUCCACCUUUGUCUCCCAACUCAAAACCCAUAAGAAAACUGGCCUAUUAUGAGAAGCCUAAACCGGCUGCUAAACCGGUGAAAUUAUCAGAGCGCACUGAUGGUGGCUGCAGAGAGGUUAAGUCCACGGUGACUGUUCAGAAGCAACCUGGAAGUAUAGCUGCUGCAAGAAGAGAAGAGGUUGCUAUGAAACAAGAAGAAAGAAAGAAGAAGAUCUCUCAUUAUGGUAGGGUAAAAUCUGUACUAUCAAACGAAAAGAGCUUAAAUGUUGAACAUGAGAAGAAGAAGAGAUGCAGUUUCAUCACUACAAGUUCAGGUUUGUAAAAGUUACUUGUUGUGCAAGAAAAAUCAAUUUUCUUUUUUCCAUGCCAAAUCAAUAUUUGAUUAAUUGGAUCUAAGAUCUUAGUUUGCUCUGACAGAUCCAAUCUAUGUGGCUUACCAUGAUGAAGAAUGGGGAGUUCCUGUUCAUGAUGACAAGUAAAUAAAAUUUUCUUUCUUUUAUAAAGAGAACAAAAAUUUCUUAUUAACUGAAACUAAUUAAGAUUACUGUUGAAAUCUUUUCUCAGCCUAUUGUUUGAGCUUCUGGUGUUAACCGGAGCUCAGGCCGGAUCCGAUUGGACUUCGGUUUUGAAGAGAAGAAACACUUUUAGGUAAGAAAAUUUAAGAUACCCACAAACUGAAAAUGAUGUUUUUGGUUAUAAAUUUUGCUUUUCAAAAAAAAAACUGAAUGUAAAAUUAUAUUCAAAUCAACCCUGGUAACAAUAAAUGCAUCUCAUUUUUGACGUCUUGAUUAUAGGAAGCAGAAGUUGUAAAAUACAGCUUGAUGAUCCAAUUCAUCGUAUUUUUAACUUAAAAGUCGUGUUGUUGCCGUGAACCAUAGUUGAAGAGUGUCGUUGUGCUUCCUAUUAUCUUGCUCCUCUCUGAAACUUUUGGUCUAAAUUUGUAACCUUUGGUUUUACAGAGAGGCUUUCUCUGGUUUCGAAGCAGAGUUGGUCGCAGAGUUCAACGAGAAGAAGAUACAGUCGAUAGUCAACGACUACGGAAUUGGCCUUAGCCAAGUCCUUGCAGUUGUUGACAACUCUAAACAAAUUCUCAAGGUAUAUAUUAAUAGAGAUUGAUAAAAUGUUUUUUUCUUUUUGUUGCAGUUUUAUUUGCAAAAACAUAUUAGAAGACUUGAUCUUACCAAAAAUAUAUAACUAGACGAAAAAAAUUCAUCUGAUAGUUGAUUAAAAAAAUUGCAGGUGAAAAGAGAUUUCGGAUCAUUCAACAAAUACAUUUGGGGAUUUAUGAAGCACAAACCGGUUACCACAAAAUACACAUCUUGCCAAAAGAUUCCGGUUAAGACAUCAAAAUCAGAAACCAUAAGCAAAGACAUGGUUCGUCGCGGGUUUAGAUUCGUUGGUCCGACAGUUAUACAUUCGUUGAUGCAAGCUGCCGGGUUAACCAACGACCAUUUGAUCACUUGUCCGAGACAUCUCGAGUGUAUGGUCAAGGCUGCUCUAUAGGCAAAAAAAUAUCAUUGUUGUUCACAUUGGCUUUAUUUAUUAGUUUUACGUAAUCAAAUAAUAUUGAUGUGUUAUUAUCCAUGUGAUAUAUAGAUUUGAGAUCCUAACUUUAGGUAUUGAUUUUUGUACAAAAGUAUGUGUGCGUGUGUGAUUGUGCUUUAUAUUGAAUAUAUGUGUGUAUUUGGUUUAUAAUUAUUUAAUUUGGUUUCUGAGGAUAAUAGUUUGUGGGAUAUGAGGAAUAUUGUAAAGAAGAGAGACAGAGCAUGUGCACUAGGUUGGGAUGCAUUGUCAUGUGUUAGAUUAUCAAUGGACUUUUUAUACUUUAUUCUCUUUUUAUGACAAAUUUUCUUUAGCGUUUGAGUUGGAAGAUAAUAUGAAAAAGCUUUGUUAGACCCCAUCUAGUACAAAAAUUGAUGCAUUCUUCCUCCCGGAAGCCUUAUCAUCUUGAAAUUCGUUAAAGGAACUCACACCAUUUAUAAAUUUCUUAUCAUUUGUUACAGCCUUAUUUUAGUCGUGAAAAAAAAUGUAAUGUUAAUUCUUUGAUAUAGUAAGCUUGUAUGAUGUAUACAAAGGGUGUGAAUGAUCGCCAUAAGUGGUACAAGACAAAAAAUGCUGGUAUUACUAUUACAUUUACAAGUGAAACAUAAAACUAAUAAUUUAUAAGAAAUUUUUUCUAUUUGUAUGAUGCUUUGCGGCCUAGUCCUACCGAGAAAUUCCCAACCGACCAGAGGAGGGAAGUAUGUUGUUCAUAAAUCAUAAUAAUACGAUAGUUCCGUCGAGAUGAAAUAUUUGAACGUACUGUAUAGGGGUGUGCACUUUCCUGAUAUCAGAAACAGCACCUGAACCCAAUGCAAAAAACCCAAACCGAAAUUCGAACCGAAGUAGCAAAAUAUCUGAAUGGGUAUUAAAUUAGAGGAGAUUGGAUAUCCGAACCCGAACAGGUAAUAUCCAUCCUAUUCAGUCUGAUUAGAUAUGUCACUGCGAGAGGUGCUUUAGCAACUCGACUGAAAAGGCGUUUCUCGGAGUCAUGACUCGAGCACUUGUCUAGAGAGGCACGGAGCGGACCCGAAUGGAUAUCCGAAGAUAACCGAACAUAUAUAUGUAUAAUUAACCAUAUAUUUCUAGUUUGCAUCUCUUAUUUUAUAUAAAAUAUUUAUAUUGAUACUACACAUACUUUAAGUUCAUAUGAUAUACAUAAAAUUACGGAGAAAAUGAUUUUCUACUCACUUAAAAUGCAUGUCAAACUUUUUAUUUCAAGAAUAGACAAAAAGUUACAUCCAAAAUUUAAAAACAAUAACCAAAGUAAUGUCUUUUUAAUUUCAAAAUGUUACGUCUAAAUCUAUUAAUCAUUCAGUUAUGAGAAGCCUAAACCAGCUGCUAAACCGGUGAAAUUAUCAGAGCGCACUGAUGGUGGCUGCAGAGAGGUUAAGUCCACGGUGACUGUUCAGAAGCAACCUGGAAGUAUAGCUGCUGCAAGAAGAGAAGAGGUUGCUAUGAAACAAGAAGAAAGAAAGAAGAAGAUCUCUCAUUAUGGUAGGGUAAAAUCUGUACUAUCAAACGAAAAGAGCUUAAAUGUUGAACAUGAGAAGAAGAAGAGAUGCAG
rnacentral:lncRNA from 1 species